UACGUAGGGUCCGAGCGUUGUCCGGAAUUAUUGGGCGUAAAGGGCUCGUAGGCGGUUUGUCGCGUCGGGAGUGAAAACCUUGGGCUUAACUCAGGGCUUGCUUUCGAUACGGGCAGACUAGAGGUAUGCAGGGGAGAACGGAAUUCCUGGUGUAGCGGUGAAAUGCGCAGAUAUCAGGAGGAACACCGGUGGCGAAGGCGGUUCUCUGGGCAUGAUCUGACGCUGAGGAGCGAAAGUGUGGGGAGCGAACAGG
rnacentral:rRNA from 1 species